CUAUGACGUCACGCUGACGUCAGCAUGACCUCAAGCAGGCCGUCCCAUGGAUCUGUCGAUUUUGGGCUAGCUUGAAGACCAGCUUGGGCUGGGGUGCCAUCCUAUCCACAUGGGCUGGAGGGGAUUGGUUGGAUGCUAGGACAAAAAUGGUGUUGGGUGUCGGCCUACAAGUCCCCGGUGGACUUGCUCUUAUAGAAGUUCACCUUCCUCAAACCCUAGCUUCCUAAUGCUAGUGUCUCCUUUUUUUUUUUCUUUUUUUUUUGGCAAAUGCUAGUGUCUCCUUUUAGUUUCUCUCUUUUUGGCCUCAAUACCGCUCACUUUCUCAAACCACCCGGGUUUAAUUACCUUUUUCUCCUUCAUCAGCUUAAAGCCUUUCUUGUCAGUCAUGAUCUUUGGACAUUCGUUGAUGAUCCUUCUCUCUUCCUUUUACUGCUAUUGCACGUAUCAUCACGUUCAAAUCCGUAACCCUAUCAUGCUCUAUGAAUUUAGAAAGGUUAGUUAAUUGUCAGUUAUCCCACCAGUACCUUCUCAGAACUCAUUCUCUCUUUAACUAUCGGUUGCGACACUUUGCUCAACGUUCGGUUGCCCGUGACUCCACUUCCACAAGGGUCAUUUGGUAUUAAAUCAAAUGAAUUCGUGACAUAGAGUUAAGUAUCCAAUUAAUCUAAUAUGCAUGCUCAGCUUUUGGAAGCAUGCAAUAGUGGCAAUCUAGCAGAUUUAUCAUAAAAGGUGAUGGUCGUUCAAUCAUAGGCUAAACACAAAAGAUAAAAUUAAAACGUAGUUUCGCUCUAAUUAAAUCAUUAUUUUAUUUCUUUUAUACGUGGACGGCACGCUAAUAAAUUGAUAAUUAGUAGAUCUUAUUAGUCACAAAUUUGACCCAUUGGGUUAAUUAAUAAAUUAAUUAUAAUGAUUGCAACUUUUAGUCUCUCCAACAGUGAGGAAGAUAUUAAUAAGCUCUUGACAAUGAAGUGUGAAGCAAAUCCUAUUUUUCUAAUCGCAGACUAAGUUAAAUAAUUCUGUAGAUUAAUGGUGGAGAAGGCAUGUUUACUCACACUCAUGGAGAAAGAAACUUUGGAGAGGGCUUAGUUAUCGAAAAGACUUUGCACUUAAAAAGUGGGAGCUGUAAAGAAAAAGCUUUCUCAUGGCUGAAGGGUCCCUUGUGUUUUUUGAAAAGAAGAAGACAUAGUGCGUGUGUGAUGGAGGAUGUCAAAAUCAAUGGAACCACUAGUCAAUUUCAAUGCCCCGACACCAUAAAAUUGUCUGCUAUAUAUGCUUAAUAUCUCAUAGAACUUGACCAUACAAGGAUUCAAUUUGUGGUUGUGAAAAUUAGGUUAUAGAGAAAGAGAGUGUGAUGUUACAACUGUCACUAAUGUAAAGAUUUGGAGUCGGGCUAGUGAGUACCAUUCACACCGAUAUUAUUUCAACCUAGCCACCUGCAUAAUGAAAUAAGUGUUAUUUUUUACAAAAAAAUUUGGUGCAUUAAGACCAUCUCCAACCCUUAGGCUAAAAGCCAAAUUUUUUAGCCCGGAAAAUUUGGCUUUUAGCCCAGAAACAUAUUUUCUGCUCCAACCCUUCUGCCCUAAAAUUUUAGCCCGGAAUUAUUAAAGAAUGAACUUAGGCUAUUUUUUUUCUUAAAUCAAUUUUUUUAAAUAAAUAUGUAGAUUAUUGUAAAUUAAUUUUAUGAACAUUUUAAUAUAAAAAAAUUUAAAUUCUGAUAAACAUUUGGCAUUUAGCCCCGGGGGAAAGCUUGGGGGGUAUUUGGCCCAGAAAUAACAUUUGGCAUUUAGCCUAAAAUUUUAACAUGGGUUGGAGAGUGUUUGGGGGGGGUAAUUUGGCUUUUAGCUCAGGUUUGGAGAUGGUCUAAGAGUAGAACCAUUCAAUAUAUGUUAAUAUUAUAAUUCAUUCUGUCAAAUUUUCAAUGUGAAAUAACAUUCUUUAACCACGAAUGCUAGUCAAUUCAUUGUGUCGUUUGCAUAGCUUCCAUGCAAACCAAUCUCAUAUCAGUUGGGUUCUUCUGAGUGGUACGUUUAUGAUAAUUAAGCGAAACGAACUAAAUUCAUGUGCUUAAGAAUUAUUGUAUAUAUAGAUCUGGUUGGAGAAUAAUCUGUUGCAAAUAGAAUAGAGAUAGAAUGUAGAGAGGAAAUUAAGAUUAAAAAAUUAUUGAAAAAAAAAAAGAAAAAAAAAAGUAAUGCUAAGGAGACUAAAUUUGUACAAAAAAUUUUGCAAACUAAAUAAUGUGUCACCAAUAGAAAAUUAGCACGUUUAUCAACGCUUAAGUAAUCAUCCAAUCAUCAACUUUCACAUCAUUUAGUUUAUAAAUUUUGUCUACAAAUUUAGUUUCCCUAGCAUUACUCUAAAAAAAGAACCAUAACAUUCUAGUUGUUAUCGAUAGUGUCGAUAUAUAACUCAAUAUAGUCGGUCUUCAUACGAAGGGAAAUUGAAAACGCAACAACUAAUUUUUUUUUUCCAAGAUAAGAAUUUCAUUAAAUUCGAAUCAAAAUGUUUACUUCAGAAGUCAAAGUGUUAAACAACUAUGUAGAGCCAAAAAUAUUCACAAGGCGACAUGUGGAUUUUUGACAAAAGAAGACAAAACUACCCUUGGGGCAUAUCGGGAUUCCUACGAGCAAGCAGCGGGCAAUUAUCCCUCAACCAAGUCAAAAGUGCCCAUAAUAGGUAUCAACUUAAAACCUAAUUUAUUCAUAUAUUUCCUAUUUCAUUAUUUAGCUAAUCAAUUAGCUAAAUACUACACUUAUUCCAUAAUUCCUAAAACAUUCCUUCUAAAAUAAUGAUAAAUAGCUAAUUAAUGGGUUAAUUAGCUAAUUAUUCCCUUAAUUAGCAUUUAGACCUUUCACUUUACCCUAACUCCCACAAAAGGGCCGGCUAUCCCCAUUUCAAAACCUCAUCCAUCACCUUUUCUACCUUUUUCACCAUUUCUUCCUUUUUAUUAGCCAAUAAAUUUCAUAACCACAAAAGCAUUUCCUUUUAUGUUUAAUUAGCCAAUUAAUUGGCUAAUUAAACCAAAACAAAACCUAAAACCCGACUAAGUGGCCGGCCAUCCUUUCCUCUCCUAUAAAUUGGUUUCCAUUUUCACCAAACACUAAUUCCAACACUAUGGCAAAAAUCCGAAAAUUCUCUAAACACUCUUUCUCUCUAAAUUCUAACUUUGGCAUCGAAGGUUCUUCGGCCAAAGCCCCCCCAUUCAUCGUGGGCGCGUGAGGCUCUUGGCCUUAACCUAAGGUGUUAAUUGUUUUGUAGGUGCAAAAUUAUCCAAGAUCAAGGAGGAAGAAAUUUGCAUCCACAAAUUGGUGCUUUCAUUGAGAGCUGAAAUCCAUACUCGCAAAAGACUCUCGCACAAAAAGGUUUUUUCUUUAUUUUCUAGUCCAUUUGAAUAUUUUUCAUAUGUUCUUAUUAUUAAAAAUUUUUACUUGCAAAGGUUCUUUGAUAAAACGUAUAAGCAAAAUAUAAUGGCUAGAAAUUUAGAAAAUUCCACAAGUGAAAAUUCUAAUGUUCAAGAAAUGGGAUUGUGGAGAUCCGUGAGGCUAAAUGUGACAAUAAGUGGAGCAGCACCACCACCACGAAUUUCCACCACGGGAACCACCACAGUGGCUACCUCGGUAGCCACCCGUGGCGAGGUCCAUGGUGCCUUCACCACGGCCUGAGCCGUGCCAUCCAAGGCUCACGGUACCAAGGCCACGGCCCAAGCCGUGCCAUCCAAGCUUGCACACGUUCGAGCCCAAGCUUCGCAUUCAUAUGGAUCACGCGCUAAGCAACCUGCUCCCGACGAGCAGCCCA
rnacentral:lncRNA from 1 species